CAGCAGUCGCCGCGGUAAUACAGAGGGUGCGAGCGUUAAUCGGAUUUACUGGGCGUAAAGCGUGCGUAGGCGGCUUCUUAAGUCGGAUGUGAAAUCCCUGAGCUUAACUUAGGAAUUGCAUUCGAUACUGGGAAGCUAGAGUAUGGGAGAGGAUGGUAGAAUUCCAGGUGUAGCGGUGAAAUGCGUAGAGAUCUGGAGGAAUACCGAUGGCGAAGGCAGCCAUCUGGCCUAAUACUGACGCUGAGGUACGAAAGCAUGGGGAGCAAACAGGAUUAGAUACCCGGGUAGUCCCUGUCUCUUAUAC
rnacentral:rRNA from 1 species